rnacentral:rRNA from 1 species
CGCGGCCUACGGGGCGCAGCAGUGGGGAAUAUUGCACAAUGGGGGAAACCCUGAUGCAGCAACGCCGCGUGAGUGAAGAAGUAUUUCGGUAUGUAAAGCUCUAUCAGCAGGGAAGAAAAUGACGGUACCUGAGUAAGAAGCCCCGGCUAACUACGUGCCAGCAGCCGCGGUAAUACGGAGGGUGCGAGCGUUAAUCGGAAUUACUGGGCGUAAAGCGCUCGUAGGCGGUAUGUCAAGUCAAGGGUGAAAUCCCCGCGCUCAACGUGGGAACUGCCUUUGAAACUGGCAAACUGGAGUGUGUGAGG